UACGGAGGGUGCAAGCGUUAUCCGGAUUCACUGGGUUUAAAGGGCGCGUAGGCGGUGCGGUAAGUCACCUGUGAAACCCCCGGGCUCAACUCGGGGCCUGCAGGCGAAACUGCCGUGCUGGAGUGCGGAAGAGGUGAGUGGAAUUCCCGGUGUAGCGGUGAAAUGCGUAGGGACCCGGAGGAACACCAGUGGCGAAGGCGGCUUCCUGGUCUGCGACUGACGCUGUGGCGCGAAAGCGUGGGGAGCGAACAGG
rnacentral:rRNA from 1 species